rnacentral:lncRNA from 1 species
UGACUGAGCAAUGGUCUUCAGUCCAUGCAGGGGGUGGGGUGGGGGGAGCGCGGUGGUGAUCAAUGGGCCUAGUCCAGAAGACUCUGUCUGUAUGUCCCAUAGGGAGGUCACAAAGAAGUCCUUAUUGAGGGCAGAUAUCUGGACUCACCACAUUCAGUAACUGGGAGAGAGCUGAGAACUGGAAAUUUGGCUCACCUCUCAUGUUUACAUACAUCAUGAGUGGCAUCAAGUCAUAUCCUUGACUUUAGGAUAUCUGAACCUUUGGAAAUUGUAACUAGAAGUCUUAAAACAUUAGCUACGUAUUGAUUCUCUCACCUUCAGAAAAAUGGAAUGUCCUCUUUCAUAAGAGGUGGAGUUUUCCCAUGUUGCCCAUGCUGGUCUGGAACUCCUGAGCACAGAAACAACUGAAGAACAGCAGAAUACAACUAUUCGUUCCCUAGGGCGCCUAAAUUUCCCAGUGUUCCUUUAGAAUCUGAUGAGAUGAGGUUUAGAUCUGAUGACCAUCAAAAGUAAUUGGAUUCUUUACAUUGAUUAUAUUAUAGAAUUGUUUUCAGAAAAGAUAGUCAAGAAAUUUUAGGAAAUGUAAUAUAUAACUAAUUGGUAUAGCCUAUAUGCUGUACCAAUAGGAUAUAUAAUAAGAUAUAUAAGCAACGGUUCAUUAAACCAUCUAAAACUUAGGACUCAGGCCAAUCUUUUAAAUCAUUAGGGAUAUUCUCGGCAUGGACCUCAAGAGAUAGAAAA